UAGCUUUUAAGGAAUAACCAAUUAUUGGUCUGGCAGAUAUUUUUGGCAAUAACGUAUCGGCCUAUAAAGAUACAGAUAUUGCCAAUAAUGCAGAUGCAGACCAGGUUGUCAUGGAGGGUCUGCAGCAAGCUCUUACUUACCUUCCCAGCAGCUCCCCUGUCUAAAUAUUGCAAGUCCGGUUGCCGGAAGAGCGUUGCCACGGGUUACUGCGGCAUGCAGGCCACGAGAGAGUUAGUCAGGGGAGCUGAAGGGAAGGCAAAUAAGAGCUUGCUGCGGGCCCUCCACUGCACAGUCCUUG